AUUAGCCAUGCAUGUCUCAGAAUAAGUCUUCACACGGCGAAUCUGCGAAUGGCUCAUUAAAACAGUUAUAUUCUAUUCGAUGGUCAAAAGUUAUAUGGAUAACUGCGGUAAUUCUGGAGCUAAUACAUGCGAAAAGACCCGACUUCUGGGAAGGGUUGUAUUUAUUAGAUACAGAACCAAUGCUCUUCGGAGUUUUUGGAUGAUUCAUAAUAAAUGAACGGAGCUCAUGGCUUGUGCCGGAGCUAUGUCGAUCGAGUUUCUGACCUAUCAGCUUUCGACGGUAGGGUAUUGGCCUACCGUGGCAUUGACGGGUAACGGAGAAUUAGGGUUCGAUUCCGGAGAGGGAGCCCGAGAAACGGCUACCACAUCUAAGGAAGGCAGCAGGCGCGCAAAUUACCCAAUCCUGACACAGGGAGGUAGUGACAAGAAAUAACAAAGCAGGCGCUUACCGCGUUCUGCUAUUGGAAUGAGUAGAAUUUAAACCACUUUUCGACUAUCCAUUGGAGGGCAAGUCUGGUGCCAGCAGCCGCGGUAAUUCCAGCUCCAAUAGCGUAUAUUAAAGUUGUUGCGGUAAAAAAGCUCGUAGUUGGAUUUCUGCUGAGGAUGAGCGGUCCGCUCACUGAGCGUGUAUCUGCUUCAGCCUUGGCAUCCUCUCGUUAAUCGUUCCUGCGCUUGAUUGCGUGGGGCGAGUGGCGGGACUUUUACUUUGAGGAAAUUAGAGUGUUCACGGCAGGCUAUCGCCAGAAUACAUUAGCAUGGAAUAAUACUAUAGGAUUUUGGUCCUAUUUUGUUGGUUUCUAGGAUUAAAAUAAUGAUUAAUAGGGACAAUUGGGGGCAUUCGUAUCAACACGUCAGAGGUGGAAUUCUUGGAUUGUGUUGCGACGAACUACUGCGAAAGCAUUUGCCAAGGAUGUUUUCAUUGAUCAAGAACGAAAGUAAGGGGAUCGAAGAUGAUUAGAUACCGUCGUAGUCUUUACCACAAACUAUGCCAAGAGAGAUGGGACAUCGUAUUGUUACGACGUGGUCCGCACCUACUCAGAUAUCAAACUGAACGGGGUAAGGGGGGAGUAUGGUCGCAAGACUCAAAACUAAAGGAAUUCACGGAAGGGCACCACCCGGAGUGGAGCCUGUCGUUAGAUUUGACUCAACACGGGGAAACUCACCAGGUCCAGACAUAACCAGGAUUGUCAGAUUCCUAGCUAUUUCACGAUAGGCCAAUACCUGGUGCAUGGCCGUUUGAUAGGUCAGAAACUGAUUUGUACAUAGAUCCGCCUCAACCCACGAGACCCGUUCAUUUUUUAUGAAUUAUCCAAUAAUUGGAUAGAGCCUUUGUUCUGAGAGGGAUAAAUACAACCUCAGCAGAGGAAGUGUGUGUUUGCAACUAUUAGCUCCUGACUUACGACAUUUAUCCAUGCAACUUCGGUCCAUUGAAUCGUUCAUAGAGGUUACAACCUUCCCUUCGCAGGUUCGCCGACCGAAGAAACAUUCAUCGACAUGCGGAUAGUUAUUUGCAAGACAAGCUUUUGAAUGAGGACAUGAUCAACCAGGUGGUUCAUCAGACCGUCGUGAUUACGUCCCUGCCCUUUGUACACACCGCCCGUCGCUCCUACCGAUUGAGCAAUCC
rnacentral:rRNA from 1 species